GUGGGGAAUUUUGGACAAUGGGCGCAAGCCUGAUCCAGCAAUGCCGCGUGCAGGAAGAAGGCCUUCGGGUUGUAAACUGCUUUUGUACGGAACGAAACGGUCCUGGUUAAUACCCGGGGCUAAUGACGGUACCGUAAGAAUAAGCACCGGCUAACUACGUGCCAGCAGCCGCGGUAAUACGUAGGGUGCAAGCGUUAAUCGGCAUUACUGGGCGUAAAGCGUGCGCAGGCGGUGCUGUAAGACAGGCGUGAAAUCCCCGGGCUUAACCUGGGAAUUGCGCUUGUGACUGCAGGGCUGGAGUGCGGCAGAGGGGGAUGGAAUUCCGCGUGUAGCAGUGAAAUGCGUAGAUAUGCGGAGGAACACCGAUGGCGAAGGCAAUCCCCUGGGCCUGCACUGACGCUCAUGCACGAAAGCGUGGGGAGCAAACAGGAUUAGAAACCCUUGUAGUCC
rnacentral:rRNA from 1 species